AUCCAGAUGACGGGUCCCAAAUAGGACGAAAAGCGCAUCGUAGAU
rnacentral:hammerhead_ribozyme from 1 species